rnacentral:lncRNA from 1 species
CCAUCUUCCGAGGAGGAGAAGAGAACGGCGAGGCGGCAGCCAAGGGGGGACUGAAAGUUGACUGGGGGACCACGGUUGCUGGGCCAGCAGGGACUUGGCGUCGGCGGCGGGCGCCGGAGGAGACCAGGAGAGGGCGGCGGGCGCGCCGGGCUGACUCGGGGUGCGCUGCGCGAGGUGCGGGACGCGCCGCCGCCGCGGCCGCCGCGCGGGGGGAGCUCGGGAGGGCGGCAGCGCUCGGCUGCGAGCUGCGAGCUGCGCCGGUGGCGGCGCGCGGAGGAUUUGCUAAAAAUAGCCACUCUUGGGAGGAGUGUGGGGGGCGGAGGGGGGCGAUGGGGGGCGGGAGGCCGAGAGGCCAGCCCGGAGGCCCGGCGUGCCGGAGCCUGGGCGGGGCCGGGUGGGAAGGGAGGCAGCACCGGUGGCGGGAGCUGGGCCCAGGCGCUGGAGACCUGAGGCCCGAGAGGCGCGGGCCGGGGGGCGAGGGAUGCGGGGACCCCUAGGCGCGGGGAACGACGCGCGGAGGCAGGAGGACAGAGCCACCUUGGGUGGAGCGGAGGAGAGCUCCGGGCUGGACCGGCGACCCUCCCAGGGGAAGGGCCGGGCGCCCGAGACUCUUGGGGGUCCUGAGGCGGAGCACGCCCACGCGGGCGCCCCUGCUUCCCGCGCCCGACGCCUCAGCAGCCCGCGGCCGGGCCGGGCCCCGGUGGGCAAGGAGCCGGGGAGUCGGGCCGUUCAGGUGCGCGCAGCGCAGCCCCCGCUGGUUCCCGGCUCCCUCCGCGACUUCUGCAGAGAAACGAGCGUUGUGGGGCGAUGCCUGGAGCGGCCCCGCUUAUGCUUGGAGCUUAAAGAACCAUUCAAGGGAAUUUUAAAAGAAAAUGCUAUAUUUGGAGUUUUUUUCAAAGACCAAAUGGGAAACGCAAGGAAAUAUGGUGACUACCAUGAGAAACAUGAAUUAGGUUUGGCACAUUUUAAGGGUGAACAGAGAGAACCAUCCGCUCUGAAUCCAGCCCUAAUAGAAGGGAAGCAGGCUGAGAAGGUCCGAGAAGUGACGAGGCCUGCAACAAUGGAUAUCGUACUGCUCAUCAUCUGUUCAGGAAUUCCCUGUUGAAGAGCGAG